UGCGGAAGGAUCAUUAACGAAUAACUAUGGCGUUGGUUGUAGCUGGCUCCUCGGAGCAAUGUGCACGCCCGCCAUUUUUAUCUUUCCACCUGUGCACCGACUGUAGGUCUGGAUACCUCUCGCCUCCGGGCGGAUGCGAGGGUUGCUCGUAAGGGCUUCCCUUGAACUUCCAGGCUCUACGUCUUUUUACACACCCCAAUAGUAUGAUGCAGAAUGUAGUCAAUGGGCUUCUCAGCCUAUAAAACACUAUACAACUUUCAGCAACGGAUCUCUUGGCUCUCGCAUCGAUGAAGAACGCAGCGAAAUGCGAUAAGUAAUGUGAAUUGCAGAAUUCAGUGAAUCAUCGAAUCUUUGAACGCACCUUGCGCUCCUUGGUAUUCCGAGGAGCAUGCCUGUUUGAGUGUCAUUAAAUUCUCAACCUCACCAGUUUUCUGAACUGACUGAGGCUUGGAAGUGGGGGUUUGUGCAGGCUGCCUCACCCGGCGGUCUGCUCCCCUGAAAUGCAUUAGCGAGGUUCAUGCUGGACCUCCGUCUAUUGGUGUGAUAAUUAUCUACGCCGUGGACGAGGAUACAGACUCGCUUCUAACCGUCCGCGAGGACAAUACCUUGACAAUUGACCUCAAAUCAGGUAGGAUACCCCAGUU
rnacentral:rRNA from 1 species